rnacentral:rRNA from 1 species
GACGAACGCUGGCGGCGUGCUUAACACAUGCAAGUCGAACGGAAAGGCCCUGCUUUUGUGGGGUUCUCGAGUGGCGAACGGGUGAGUAACACGUGAGUAACCUGCCCUUGACUUUGGGAUAACUUCAGGAAACUGGGGCUAAUACCGGAUAGGAGCUCCUGCUGCAUGGUGGGGGUUGGAAAGUUUCGGCGGUUGGGGAUGGACUCGCGGCUUAUCAGCUUGUUGGUGGGGUAGUGGCUUACCAAGGCUUUGACGGGUAGCCGGCCUGAGAGGGUGACCGGCCACAUUGGGACUGAGAGACGGCCCAGACUCCUACGGGAGGCAGCAGUGGGGAAUAUUGCACAAUGGGCGGAAGCCUGAUGAAGCAACGCCGCGUGCGGGAUGACGGCCUUCGGGUUGUAAACCGCUUUCGCCUGUGACGAAGCGUGAGUGACGGUAAUGGGUAAAGAAGCACCGGCUAACUACGUG